GUGGGGAAUCUUCCGCAAUGGACGAAAGUCUGACGGAGCGACGCCGCGUGAGUGAAGAAGGCCUUCGGGUCGUAAAGCUCUGUCAUCAGGGACGAACGGCCGGUGGAGUGGAAAGCCACCGGAUUGACGGUACCUGAGAAGGAAGCCACGGCUAACUACGUGCCAGCAGCCGCGGUAAUACGUAGGUGGCAAGCGUUGUCCGGAAUUAUUGGGCGUAAAGCGCGCGCAGGUGGGAUCUUAAGUCCAUUUUGAAAGUUCGGAGCUCAACUCCGUGAUGGGAUGGAAACUGGGAUUCUUGAGUACCGGAGAGGAAAGCGGAAUUCCCCGUGUAGCGGUGAAAUGCGUAGAUAUGGGGAGGAACACCAGUGGCGAAGGCGGCUUUCUGGACGGUGUCUGACACUGAGGCGCGAAAGCCAGGGGAGCGAACGGGAUUAGAUACCCUAGUAGUCC
rnacentral:rRNA from 1 species